rnacentral:rRNA from 1 species
GACGGGGGAUGCGAGCGUUACCCGGAAUCACCGGGCGUAAAGCGUCUGUAGGUGGUGAUGCAAGUCACUGGUGCAAAACUCUGGCUCAACCGGAGGAAAGCCAGUGAAACUGCAUGACUAGAGUGUGGGAGAGGUAGAAGGAAUUCCCUGAGUAGCGGUGAAAUGCGUAGAUACAGGGAAGAACACCGGAGGCGAAAGCGUUCUACUGGAACACAACUGACACUGAGAGGCGAAAGCUAGGGGAGCGAAUGGG